GCAGGUUUAGUUAAGGGGCUAUAACAAUCGCCUUGUAAGCGAUAAUCGGGGGUUCGAUUCCCUCAACCUGCA
rnacentral:tRNA from 2 species